rnacentral:lncRNA from 1 species
GCUACUGGCAGUGCUUUCAGCUCUGAGUUGAGGCACCUCAAACCUUGUUUUUGUGGUGAAGGAUCCUAAAGUGCUGUGGGAGUGAUCACAUUUUUCACAACAGUAAGGUAAGAAUUUCAGUUACUGACAUCCCUCAGUCCUGAUUAAACCUAUUUGAUUUCACCAGUUUUUAACCCAUCAUAUGUUUGGGUUUCUUCUCCCCAGUCCCUGGCCCCACCUCUUCUGCCACAAACGUCAGCAUGGUGGUAUCAGCCGGCCCUUGGUCCAGCGAGAAGGCAGAGAUGAACAUUCUAGAAAUCAACGAGAAAUUGCGCCCCCAGUUGGCAGAGAACAAACAGCAGUUCGGAAACCUCAAAGAGAGAUGUUUUCUAACUCAACUGGCCGGCUUCCUGGCCAACCGACAGAAGAAAUACAAGUAUGAAGAGUGUAAAGACCUCAUAAAAUUUAUGCUGAGGAAUGAGCGACAGUUCAAG